UUGCUCACUGAGUCAGCACAGAUACUAAAAUUGGAAUGAUCCAGAGAAGAUUAGCAUGGCCUCUGCACCAGGAUGACACCGAGAUUGUAAUAGGAGUUUUAUUUUUUC
ensembl:snRNA U6 U6 spliceosomal RNA